UUCUAGGUACCUCACAUACGUAGAAUCAUAUAAUACUAAGCCUUUUGUGACUGGCUUAUUUCACUUAGCACACUGUCCUCCAGGUUCAUUCAUGCUACAGCCUGUGUCCGAGUUUCCUUCUUCCUGAGGCUGGUGUUCCAUUGUAUGUCUACACCACAUUUUGUUUCCAUUCAUCUGUCAAUGGCCAUUUGGGUUGUUUCUACUUUUUGGCUGUUGUAAAUAACACUGCUAUGAACAUAGGGGUGCAUAUAUCCUUUCUUAUUGGUGCAUUUUCCUCCUUACAUUAUGGUAGUACUUUAUGGCAGCUUAAGUUAUUUUGCUUGCAAUGUUUAUGAAUCGUCCUCAGUAGUAAUACUAUAAGCCUCUUUGUUGUAUCUUUUUAUACAAGAAUUUAAAAUAUUUUCACUUUUUAUUAUAUAAGCUUUCAAUUAUAUACAAAAGAAAAUGAUACACUCGAUCCCCUAUGUAUCCAUCACUCACCUAUAAUGAUAAUCAAAUUAUAGCUUGUUUUAUGGUUUAUUUUAAAUAAAUACCAAAUGUCAUUUAAAAAUAAAUAAA